rnacentral:lncRNA from 1 species
AAAGGACAAGGUUCACUAAUGGCACAAAAUGGCCUAAAAUAUCAACUUUAUCAUAAAACACCAAAAAGGUCUCAAUUUGGUUCGUAAAUGGGUCUAUUUCAAAAGUAUAAAUGCUAAAUAUAUCAGUUCUUUUCAUAAGAGUACAAGAUAUUCGCCAAAAGUAAGCCCAUUUUGGACAUUUUGUCAAAAUAUGAUGAUUUUGUGCAUUUUUCAG